GAUGAACGCUGGCGGCGUGCCUAACACAUGCAAGUCGAACGAUGAAGCCCAGCUUGCUGGGUGGCUUAGUGGCGAACGGGUGAGUAACACGUGAGUAACCUGCCCUUCACUCUGGGAUAAGUCCUGGAACCUGGGUCUAUUACCGGAUAGGAGCGCCUACCGCAUUGUGGGUGCUGGAAAGAUUUGUCGGUUUUGGUUGGACUCGCGCCCUAUCAGCUUGUUGGGGAGGUCAUGGCUCACCAAGGCGACGACGGGUCGCCGGCCUGGGAGGGGGACCGGCCACGCUAGGCCUGAGACACGGCCCAGACUCGUACGGGAGGCAACGGUGGAGAGUAUUACACAGUGGGCGAGAGGCUGAUGCGACGACGCCGCGUGGGGGAAGACAGCCAUGGGGUUGGAAAGCGCAGUCAGUUGAGAAGAAGCGAUAGUGACGGUACCUGCAGAAGAAGCACCGGCUAACUACGUG
rnacentral:rRNA from 1 species